UACGGGGGGAGCAAGCGUUGUUCGGAUUUACUGGGCGUAAAGAGCUCGUAGGCGGUUUAUUGCGUCGGCUGUGAAAUCCCGAGGCUCAACCUCGGGUCUGCAGUCGAUACGAGCAAACUAGAGUGUUGCAGGGGAGACUGGAAUUCCAGGUGUAGCGGUGAAAUGCGUAGAUAUCUGGAAGAACACCAGUGGCGAAGGCGGUCAACUGGCCCGAAACUGACGCUGAGGCACGAAAGCGUGGGGAGCGAACAGG
rnacentral:rRNA from 1 species